rnacentral:rRNA from 1 species
AACGAACGCUGGCGGCAUGCCUAACACAUGCAAGUCGAACGAGACCUUCGGGUCUAGUGGCGCACGGGUGCGUAACGCGUGGGAACCUGCCCUUAGGUUCGGAAUAACUCCCCGAAAGGGGUGCUAAUACCGGAUAAUGUCUUCGGACCAAAGAUUUAUCGCCUUUGGAUGGGCCCGCGUUGGAUUAGCUAGUUGGUAGGGUAAAAGCCUACCAAGGCGACGAUCCAUAGCUGGUCUGAGAGGAUGAUCAGCCACACUGGGACUGAGGCACGGCCCAGACUCCUACGGGAGGCAGCAGUGGGGAAUAUUGGACAAUGGGCGAAAGCCUGAUCCAGCAAUGCCGCGUGAGUGAUGAAGGCCUUAGGGUUGUAAAGCUCUUUUACCCGGGAUGAUAAUGACAGUACCGGGAGAAGAAGCUCCGGCUAACUCCGU